UAUUUAUGAUAGUUUGAUAGGAGAAUGUCAGAUGGCAAUACUUGCAAGAGGGCUGCGCACAGAGAUGAUGUACGCAGUAUAUAUAAAUAUUUUAUAUCGUUAUCGAAUUAAAGUUUUGUAGGCGGAAAAAUAGAUUAGAUAGUGUUUUAUACAAUUAGACAGUGCUUCACAUAUUAUAGUCGGAAAGAUAUAUUUUUUAAUCGCGUUAAUUCGCCAUUACACUUUAUUGUUCUAUAGUUAUAGAUACGCGCAACGAAAAUGCCUAAUAUAACCAAUUUAUCCCAUUUUCCUUUAAAGGUUAUAUUUGCAAUACAUUUGAUACUUGUAACAUGGAGUAUUCAAGGAAGUUGGUGUCCACAAUCUGUGCUGUUUUAUAAUUCGUUAUUCUUUGUUUGUAUAUUAUGGGCUAUUCAUAGUAUCGAGUCAGAUGAACCACUUCAAUUUGCACUUUUUAUAAAUGUGCUCUCUAUAUUUCUCGAUGUGAUCACUUUAUCAGUCUACUUCCCUACAGGCUACCAUGAUGCAGCUAAUAAAUUUAGCGCAGCUCUUAUGAUUAUAAAUUUGAUUGCCCGUCCUAUCUCGAGUAUAUAUCUGCUGCGAAUAGGCCAAGGGAGAAACGGCAGCUUAGCCACAGUAUUUGCACCGAGUCCUGCGAUGGGUCAGUAAAUCACUGGGUAGACAUCUACGUUUUUUGUAAUGCAUCAGUGCUUCGUCAAGAUCUGAUUUUAAGUUAUGGCCGGCAAGAUUAUGAGGACAUAUCACAUCCUAUUCCACAAAAUUCCGAUUUUGAUGGAGUUUAAGAUUGAAUAAAAAUUGCUCUAAAUACAGUAUAUACAUGUUUGUAACAUAAUAUGUUUUAGAUAAUGUUGGCAUUAUUUAUCAAUGCUGUUAAUACGUAACUUACGAUAUAAGAUCAAAGAUUAUAUAUACUUGUUUAUUUAUU